rnacentral:snoRNA from 1 species
CCUGCCCCUAGAAGCCUUGUAGGUGUGGCUGCUGUGUCAAUAGGUGGUACACAGAGAGGCUAUGUCUAAGCUCAGUGUUCUGCCCUAUGAACAUAUGGGUGAUUAGUAGCCUGACAUU